rnacentral:rRNA from 1 species
UACCGAGACUGCAAGCGUUAUUCGGAUUCACUGGGCGUAAAGGGUGCGCAGGCGGCCGUGUGUGUCAGGUGUGAAAGCCCGGGGCUUAACUCCGGAAUUGCGCCUGAAACUACAUGGCUAGAGCAUUGGAGAGGGUAGCGGAAUUCACGGUGUAGCAGUGAAAUGCGUAGAUAUCGUGAGGAACACCAGAGGCGAAGGCGGCUACCUGGACAAUUGCUGACGCUCAGGCACGAAAGCGUGGGGAGCAAAAGGG